rnacentral:rRNA from 1 species
GCCGCGGUAAUACCGGCGCCUCAAGUGGUAGUCGCUUUUAUUGGGCCUAAAACGUCCGUAGCCGGUUUGGUACAUUCGUGGGUAAAUCAAGACGCUCAACGUCUUGAAUUCUGCGAGCACGGCCAGACUUGGGACCGGGUGAGGUGUGGGGUACUCUCAGGGUAGGGGUAAAAUCCUGUCAUCCUGAGGGGACCACCUGUUGCGAAGGCGCCACACUAGAACGGAUCCGACGGUCAGGGACGAAGCCUAGGGGCACGAACCGGAUUAGAUACCCGGGUAGUCCUAGGUGUAAACGCUGUGGACUUGAUGUUGGGAGUGCUCCGAGCACCCUCAGUGUCGAAGCGAAGGUGAUAAGUCCACUGCCUGGGGAGUACGGUCGCAAGGCUGAAACUUAAAGGAAUUGGCGGGGGAGCACGGUCAUACUUUGUUUCCUGA